rnacentral:ncRNA from 1 species
CGUUGGAGAAUUGAGGGAAGCUGCUCCUAGUACGAGAGGACCGGAGUGGACGAACCCCUGGUGUUCGGGUUGUGUCGCCAGACGCAUUGCCCGGUAGCUACGUUCGGACAGGAUAACCGCUGAAAGCAUCUAAGCGGGAAGCCCCUCCCAAGAUAAGUUCUCCCUGACCUCUUGAAGGUCCUGAAGGGCCGUGGAAGACUACCACGUUGAUAGGCUGGGUGUGGAAGCGCUGUGAGGCGUUGAGCUAACCAGUACUAAUUGCCCGU